ACUGAUGGAAUGGAUUCUAUUUAAAAGAGUAGUUUGUGAGUCAAGAAGUUAGAGAUACAUAUUUGGAGGAUAAAAUGCAGAAUGAUACCUUCAAUACUAAAGAUUGUCAUUUGGAAGCACAUUAAGGGGAGAAAUAGUACCAUUUAGUGUGCAUUUGACUCACUGCAGUCUUUCAAUAGCCUGCACAGUCUUUAAAAAUGGGAGGUUUCACUUGAUGUGUUAAGGUGCCAUCUUCCCUUUUACGAAAGUUGAAGAUUUGGCAACACAGGACUUUGAAAGAUUGUUGUUUUCUCCUUAGAUGAGGCUUUAUUCUCCAUUUUGCCACAGUCCUCACUGUUUGCUAUUGUACAAACCACUGAAUUUAAAUCUUCUAAUCUUUUCAUCGUUUUACAUCCCUGUUAACAGGGAAGUAUUUCUUUGUCUCCAUGUUUCAAUAAGAAAUGGGAAUAGAUGAACAGGGUCAUAUGUUUUAAGAAAACCUUUUUAAAAUUUUUGUAAAGUGAAGAAGGUAUCUUUAGGGUUAAAUCAAAGGUGUCAGUGUUAAACAUACGCUCCAGAUGCCAUCCAGGACCAGACUCUGUGCAAAUCUCCCAGAUGCAUGACUUCAUUGUGUUCUCUGUAAUCAUAUGGGUUUGUUACAAGUUGUCUAUGAGGAAGUGAAAGCCAUGCAUGGAAACUAUACGAAGACAGCCUUUGUGUGCCAAGAGUGCAUUAUAUCCCCAAGGACUGCCAAGGAAUAGGUAUUAAGUGCAAACCCCAACUCAGCCUCGGUUGUGUCACCUUGGAAAAGUCACUAAGUCUCAGAUUUCCUUCAUCUGUAAAAGCUUUCAUAAAGGUUUUAACAGAAGAUUGGAAGGAGUUUGCUGCCUACUCAUGAGGAUGCUUCAAAAAAAGGUUCUUCAGAAUGGAUCAAAGGCUGUAAUUUCCAUGCCAUUUCUGUCCAAUUUUCUUUUCUCCUAAUGUUUUCGUUUUUUGAAAUGGCUAUGAUUGCAAUCCAAUUUUGCCCACACAGCACUGCAUGCCUAAAUGAACCAUUUAUCACGAACUUUUUGUCUUUUUGAUGUUUGAGAUUUUAUUUGCUUAGAAAUCUUUUUUUUUCAUUAAUGUUUACCACUCAAGCUGCAUUACAAUUACCUUCAGUAAUUACUACCUGUUGUGGCUUAUGUUAUUCUAUUCUCCAGAUGUGGUAUUAAAAUUUGCUAUUUCAAACCAAUUA